UUGCGGUUAGAAAGCUCGUAGUUGGAUUUCUGUUGAGGACACCUGGUCCGCUCUACGAGCGUGCAUCUAGGUUGGCCUCGGCAUCCGCUCUGCAAACGUGUCUGCGCUUGAUUGCGUGGCGCGGAGGUAGGGCCUUUUACUUUGAGGAAAUUAGAGUGUUCACGGCAGGCUUUCGCCUUGAAUAUAUUAGCAUGGAAUAAUAACAUAGGAUCUUGGUUCUAUUUUGUUGGUUUCUAGGGCUAAGAUAAUGAUUAAUAGGGACAAUUGGGGGCAUUCGUAUUGCGGUGUCAGAGGUGGAAUUCUUGGAUUACUGCACGACGAACUACUGCGAAGCU
rnacentral:rRNA from 1 species